UAAAAUGAUCGCCGUAAUAAUGUCAAGAGCAUACCGUAUACAGCAUUUUUGUAUGUAGACUAAUAAAUCUUGAAUUGUGAAAAUAAUACGUAAAUGUUGUAUAUCUUAGUUGCAGGUCUUUCUAGUUGUGGGAUGUGGGAUGCAGCCUCAACGUGGCCUGAUGAGCGGUGCCAUGUCCGCACUCAGGAUCUGAACCCUGGGCCGCCGCAGCAGAGCAUGCGAACUUAACCACUCAGCCACGGAGCCGACCCCCAGAUUUCUUGAAUGAAUGAACAACAGCGUAUGCCAGAAGACUAUCAGUUUGUGCUUUUCCUGCUUUUGUGCAGUUUAUUCUCAGGCGUCAUUUGUGUAAUUAAAAAUAAAUGACUAAAAUCAAAUCAAGAACAUUUUCUAUUGUUAAAAUCAGAAAAAAAUAUUCUUACAUUUCCAAUUGAAACUCUACGUUCACGCUUCUGACACAAAACCUAAUCUAGACUACAGAUGUGUUGUAAUCGAAAUAGUGGAAUAUGGAACAGCAAAGUGUAUCACCUAAGGAUAAGUGCUUAAGAUACAAAAAUUGUAAAAAACAUAGGGGAAGUAUUUGUGAUCUUAGGUUAUGGGCACUUUACUUAGAUAUGGCACCAAAAGCAUGACCCAUAAAAGAAGAAAAUAAUAAAUUGGACUUCAUCAAAAUUUAAAAUUUUUGCUCUGCAAAAUAUACUAAAGUGAAGAUAAGACAAAUCACAACCCGGGAGAAAAUAUUUGCAAAACAUAUAUCGAACAAAAAACUUUGAUCUAGAAUAUAUAAAGAACUCUUACAACUCAGGAAUAACGUCAACCCUGUGUUAAAAGUGCAGAUGAUUUGGACAGGCACCUCACCAAAGAAGAUAUGCAGAUUAUAAAUCAGCAAAUAAAAUAUGCUCAGCAUCAUUAGUCAUCAGGGGAAUGAAGAUUGAAACUACAAUGAGAUACUACUCACACACCUAUUAGGAUGAAUAAAUUAAAAAGACUGACCAUACUGAGUGUCGGCUAUGAUAGGAGCAGCUGGAACUCUCAUAUGGUGUUGAUGAGACUAUAAAAUUUUACCAUUAUUUUGGAAAAAUAAUUGGCAGUUUCUUAAAAAGUUAAACACAUAUCUACCAUGUGACCCAGCCAUUCUACUUACAGGUAUAGAUCCAAGAGAGAUGAAAGCAUAUGUCCGAACAAG
rnacentral:lncRNA from 1 species